rnacentral:rRNA from 1 species
CGGACGGGUGAGUAAUGCCUAGGAAUCUGCCUGGUAGUGGGGGACAACGUUUCGAAAGGAACGCUAAUACCGCAUACGUCCUACGGGAGAAAGCAGGGGACCUUCGGGCCUUGCGCUAUCAGAUGAGCCUAGGUCGGAUUAGCUAGUUGGUGAGGUAAUGGCUCACCAAGGCGACAUCCGUAACUGGUCUGAGAGGAUGAUCAGUCACACUGGAACUGAGACACGGUCCAGACUCCUACGGGAGGCAGCAGCA